GCUCCCCUAAUGUGUUUUCACGUUCGUUCGUGCGUUUUCACAUAUGUGGGGGUUUCGGUGCUAAACUAAUUGGCCAAAUCCGUCUUCUCUAUUUCUGGUGGCCAUCUAUCGUCUACAAACUGCUCGAUCAAACGCUUGUCACACCUUCAUGUUGCCAGUCGAUAGAUUUUCGCAACAAACAGGUGCUUCGCCCUGCUCAAAUCUCCAAUCAUUUUCAAUGCCAUGGCAAGAGGUAAGUAGUUCUGUCUUUCUGUGGUAUCAUAGGAAUACAUAACAACUGUCAAUAAAUUGCCGCUAAUAGUUGACUUCUUCUGUUAGCAAAAAAUGAUUUUAGCUCGAUACAGUCGCUGUGAAACCUGUCACCUCGUCCAAAAGGCAGCUAACAAAAACCGGUUUUCUCCCUCGCCUUGCAGAUGCCCACUGUGUUCCCCACCUGGUUGAUGCUACAAUGCAUCAAUUAUUCUGCGUGAUUGACUUUUCUCGCUUUUUAGCCUCGUUACUUGCCUAUCUUGUCCGAUACAUAACCUGUUUCUAAUGUCUAAAUAUUUAUGGGACCUUGAGAGGCGCUUAUAGCUGAUUAAGCCUUUUUGUUUUAGCGUUGAACAUUGCUUAUUCAGGCUCAGCUUUUCUUCCUUGUGCCUGUUCUUUCGUAUCUAUAAUUGCAUAUUUCGGUACUUUUCACAUCUAUUCUUACAGUUUGCAUUGUUUCAUAUCUUUUUUUUUUUUGCCCUAUACCUUUACCUUCUCUUCUAAAUAGGCCAGGUUCUAUGUGUUCAUGGCCGUCUACAAAUAUAACAAGCAUAUUGCUAAGUUUACCCUGUGGUCUUUAUCUCUUUUUGGCUGGUCUACUUCUUGGUAAGUUGAUGGAACAAUAAGGACUGCUGUUAUAGACAAAGAGGAACAAAGGUUGCAUAUGGCAUAUUAACAGUAUUAUUUGAUAUUUAGAUCUUCUAGCACAUGGUAUCUCAUCCUUUAUUAUUUGCUCUCCUGGUUCCUCACAGAUUCCCUACUAACAAUGUAAUAGACUUACACAUAGAGGAAAGCCCAUAACUUAUUUUAUUAUGGACAGAUUGACCGCCUUUGUGCUGUUCUAUUUCUGACUCUUUUCCAUCAACACCUUAAUCUUUUAACGGUAGACUUGUUUCCUGUUUCUAGGAUUGCUUUCUUAUUUGUACCAUUGCCUUGACAUUUUGCCAUCAAUUUUCUCAGCUUGUUUCAGGAAAAUUCCCCGAUGAGAGAGGAGGGGAAGCAAGAGUAGUCGGAUGUUCUAAUAAUCUGUGAAGUGAUAAACAGGCCAAGAAUGCGAGCCCAAGCUUUAAAGGGCACCAACCUGGUCAGACGGGUGAAUUGGACCACUUUGGCAGUUGCAAGGUCCGGGGCAACAUGGGCCUAAUGAUGUACCCAUCUCAGACUCACGAUCAAUGUGAAGAAGAACACAAAUUAUAUACGGGAAGAAAGAACAAAGAGGCCUUCAUUCUAACUCCCCAGAAAACUUAAUCAUUCAUUAUAAGGGCUUUAGAUUUCCUUGUAUGUCUGGCAAGUGCUCUGACUGGUUCAUCGUUCUUGUUUUCUGGUUUUAGUAUCGCGUUAUUAAGGGCUAUGCUGGUUUGGUAGGAUCAAUCUUAUUGGUAAUGAUCUUAGGUGCAAGCAAGCCUCAAAAACAGAGACUCUGUGAAUAGGCGUUUGGGUUCAUUGAUGUGUGGCGGUACUAGAAGAUUGAACUGCAGAGAAUGAUUGCUAUUUCACUGUUUUAUUUUUCAUGUUUGCAACUUAUUGAUCAUUUUCUACAUGUAGGUAUACAAGGAUGGGAAUAAAGAGAUCCACUUGGAUUGCCCAUUGCCGAGAUUGAUGGUGGAAAUGCAUUUUGAUGGUUAAGAGAACGAAGCAUGAAAGGCGAGGGUCGAUUUGAAGCCCCAAAAAUUAUUGGGGAAGAGAUUCUUUCAACACUCCUAUCAACAGUGGCUAAUACUACAUUACGUUAUUCACAAAUAUUCCGAGUUAAUGUCAAAUUUUUAGGGGUUGUCUGAGAGGUCCUUUGCUGGUGGAAGUUAUAAAGCUAUUGAUUAGCCCAA